rnacentral:lncRNA from 1 species
UUGAUUAAUUUUACUUUAAAAAUUGAUUUAGAACUCUAAUGAAGGAUCUAUUGUUGGAGAUGGUCUUACGUUUCAAAUAAAAGAUCAGCUUAUGACUAGGUAUCAUUCACACUCGGAAUCAGUUUUCACUCUUACGCAUUAAAUCAAAUUUCAUUAUCUCUUACGUUUCAAAUUUGCAGAAUCAGUUUCCAUACACCACGAUUCAUCAUUGUAGUACUCCCCUUUCAGCUUGCAUGCGUCUUUUAUGACGGUGCAUGUGUUCCUUCUCAACUGAAUCUUCCUUCUCUCACGAGUCUUCCACAGCGGGCAUGAGAAGUCUACGUCGAGAUGAAGCCUAAAGAAAGCCACGACAACAUAUCAAUCAAACAACACAUAUCUACAAAGAGUCCGAGUCACUCACUACCUUGAAAGUGGGAGAAACAGUGGAAGCGCUGGUGGUGACGAAACUGGAGAGAGAACCAACUUUACUUUUUUUUUUUUUUGAACAUGUAGAAC